rnacentral:lncRNA from 1 species
GGAGCAUGGCCCAGGAGGAGGGUGGGAGCCUGCCCGAGGUGCGGGCGCGGGUCAGGGCCGCGCAUGGCAUCCCCGACCUGGCCCAAAAGCUCCAUUUCUAUGACCGCUGGGCUCCGGACUACGACCAGGAUGUGGCCACCCUGCUGUACCGUGCGCCCCGCCUCGCAGUGGACUGCCUCACACAAGCCCUUCCAGGCCCGCCCCACAGUGCCCUGAUCCUGGACGUGGCCUGUGGCACAGGCCUAGUGGCUGCCGAGGGACCUUCGACGCGGUGCUGAUAGUCGGUGCCCUCAGUGACGGCCAGGUGCCCUGCAAUGCGAUACCUGAGCUACAUGUCACCAAGCCAGGUGGGCUGGUGUGUCUGACCACCAGGACCAACUCGUCCAACCUUCAAUACAAGGAGGCUCUGGAGGCCACCCUGGACAGGCUGGAGCAGGCUGGGAUGUGGGAAGGCCUGGUGGCCUGGCCUGUGGACCGCCUGUGGACCGCUGGGAGCUGGCUACCUCCGAGCUGGAGGUGGUAUCCGGCAUCUCUGCCAAGGAUGGCUUCAUCUCCGGCAUUGUCUACCUGUACCGAAAGUGGAAGGCGACCCAGGUUGAGGAAGUGAGAUCCAGCCCCCAGCCCCCAGCUGGCCCCUGACUCCAUGUGGCCUUAGCUGGGCCCAUCUGCUGGGCCUCCUCUGCCUCCCCUGUAAAAUGGGACCUCCGAACCAACCCUGCCCCUCAGAAAUGCCCUGCCUAUUAAAUGAGCUCCCAGAAAACAGUGGCAUCUGUUCCUGUGGGUUCCAGAAUCGAGACGUAGCAGGGUGUGGUGGCUCACACCUGUAAUCCCAACAAUUUGGAAGGCCAAGGCAGGAGGAUCUCUUGAGACCACGAGUUCAAAACCAGCCUGGGCAACAUAGUGAGACCCCUAUCUUAAAGAAAAAUUGUAAAAAUUAACACUUUGGGAGGCCGAGGCGGGAGGAUCACUUGAGGUCUGGAGUUCGAGACCAGCCUGGCCAACAUGGCGAAACCCUGUCUCUACUAAAAAUACAAAAAUUAGCUGGGCAUGGUAGCACACCCCUGUAAUCCCAGCUAGUUGCGAGGCUGAGGCAGGAGAAUUGCAUGAGCCCAGGAGGCGGAGGUUGCAGUGAGCUGAGAUGGUGCCACUGGGUGACAGAGCGAGACUCUGUCUC